UACAGAGGUGGCAAGCGUUGUUCGGAAUUACUGGGCGUAAAGGGCGCGUAGGCGGGAUGGCAAGUCGGUCGUGAAAUCCCUCGGCUCAACUGAGGAUCGUCGAUCGAUACUGCCGUUCUUGAGGAUUGCAGAGGAGACUGGAAUUCCCGGUGUAGCGGUGAAAUGUGUAGAGAUCGGGAGGAACACCGGUGGCGAAGGCGGGUCUCUGGGCAAUUCCUGACGCUGAGGCGCGAAAGCGUGGGGAGCAAACGGG
rnacentral:rRNA from 1 species